ACGAGGAGUAUGAAUUCGGGCGGCCCCGUGGGGGUAAGCGUUGGAAGCCCCUGAUCUGCUGCUGUUUGCUCGCUGCCACCUCGACGCAAGGCCCCCAUGCGGAGGAAACAAGAAGCAGGUUCUCGGAGAUGCAAUGCCGGAGCUGGACGAAGAUUCCUGGCUGGGCUGGAACCCAGAUCUCCGGACUCCGCAUCCAGCUUCUUCCACGGCUCUACCCAGAGGACCAGCGUUUAAAAUUAGAUAAACCUUCUCAGUGUGAAGGUGUUCCAGAGACGGGGAACCUUUCCUUUACAGACCGCAAUUUUCCUCUUUUCUCUGGGUCCCACAUGGAAUGUCUGUGGGUGCAGGUCCUCCUCUACUGGAAAGCUGAUUUUGGGGUCAGUAGGUGGGACUCGCAGAAACAGCCAAUUUAAGGCACAAUAAUGACAUAAAAAUCAAUUAUAAUGUUACAUUGUGCAGAUUUUUUUUUAAAAAAAAACACGUUAAAAAGCGCUUUUACUUGUAUUAAGUCGUUAAUGAAACGUCAGGAUUUUCACAAACCAGGCAGGAUAGGCAGCCUAUCCGUUGAAGGACCAGAACUUCAGACAGGGUCCAUGACUUGCUUUUCAUGACGCUUGGUAGUUGGUGGCAAAUUCAAAGUUUUGCCCCAGUAUGUUGGCUGCACUGUACCUCCAACGCUUCUCUUCAC